rnacentral:rRNA from 1 species
AGAGUUUGAUCAUGGCUCAGAACGAACGCUGGCGGCAUGCCUAACACAUGCAAGUCGAACGAGACCUUCGGGUCUAGUGGCGCACGGGUGCGUAACGCGUGGGAACCUGCCUUUAGGUUCGGAAUAACUCAGAGAAAUUUGAGCUAAUACCGGAUAAUGUCUUCGGACCAAAGAUUUAUCGCCUUUAGAUGGGCCCGCGUAAGAUUAGCUAGUUGGUGGGGUAAAGGCCUACCAAGGCGACGAUCUUUAGCUGGUCUGAGAGGAUGAUCAGCCACACUGGGACUGAGACACGGCCCAGACUCCUACGGGAGGCAGCAGUGGGGAAUAUUGGACAAUGGGCGAAAGCCUGAUCCAGCAAUGCCGCGUGAGUGAUGAAGGCCUUAGGGUUGUAAAGCUCUUUUACCCGAGAUGAUAAUGACAGUAUCGGGAGAAUAAGCUCCGGCUAACUCCGUG